UCCACCUUGGUGCAAAUCCAAGUGAAAGCA
rnacentral:tRNA from 1 species